rnacentral:lncRNA from 1 species
AUGAACUUCAUCAAGUUCAAUUUUACAGGUAUUAGCUCCUUCACCAAGAAACUUCUUUUUCAAAAAGACUGUCCGACUGCUAACAAAUACUUUUUGCUCUACAGUGAGAUAGAAGUAGUACCCUUUAGUUUCCUUUAGAUACCCUAUGAACAAGCAUCUAUCAGACUUCAAUCCAAGCUUAUCUAUCUUUUAACGCUUGACACAAGCUGGACACCCCCAAACCC